AGCGUAGACGGCGACGCAAGUCUGAAGUGAAAUACCCGGGCUCAACCUGGGAACUGCUUUGGAAACUGUGUUGCUAGAGUGCUGGAGAGGUAAGCGGAAUUCCUAGUGUAGCGGUGAAAUGCGUAGAUAUUAGGAAGAACACCAGUGGCGAAGGCGGCUUACUGGACAGUAACUGACGUUGAGGCUCGAAGCGUGGGGAGCAAACA
rnacentral:rRNA from 1 species